UCAACACCACCCACCGCUGGCUCUUGGGCUACUCAACGAAUAAAAGGAUUGACCAUCACAUUAUAACGCCCCCACAACUGAAAGGGCGAGCAUGUUCGAUGACGAGGAUUCGA